rnacentral:tRNA from 1 species
UUAACCGUAGCUCAGUUGGUUAGAGCGGCUGGCUGUGACCCAGCAGGCGGGGAUUCGAGUUCCCUCGGUUAAC